rnacentral:rRNA from 1 species
GACGAACGCUGGCGGCAUGCCUAAUACAUGCAAGUCGAGCGAACAGAUGAAGCGCUUGCACUUCUGACGUUAGCGGCGAACGGGUGAGUAACACGUAAGGAAUCUACCUAUAAGCGGGGGAUAACAUUCGGAAACGGGUGCUAAUACCGCAUAAUAUCUUCUUCCGCAUGGAAGAAGAUUGAAAGACGGCUCUGCUGUCACUUAUAGAUGACCUUGCGGUGCAUUAGUGAGUUGGUGGGGUAAUGGCCUACCAAGACAAUGAUGCAUAGCCGACCUGAGAGGGUGAUCGGCCACAUUGGGACUGAGACACGGCCCAAACUCCUACGGGAGGCAGCAGUAGGGAAUCUUCCGCAAUGGGCGAAAGCCUGACGGAGCAAUGCCGCGUGAGUGAAGAAGGCCUUCGGGUCGUAAAACUCUGUUAUAAGAGAAGAACAAAUUGUAGAGUAACUGCUACAGUCUUGACGGUAUCUUAUCAGAAAGCCACGGCUAACUACGUGCCAGCCGCCGCUGUAA